CAUCAGGUGGUGCUGUGGGUAGCACUGUUGCCUUGCAGGAAGAAGGUCCUGGGUUCAAAUCCUGGCCUGAGGU